rnacentral:rRNA from 1 species
GAGUGGCGAACGGGUGAGUAACACGUGGGUGACCUACCUUCGAAUGGGGGAUAACGUCCCGAAAGGGACGCUAAUACCGCAUAACAUCCUGCUUUUGAACAGGUGGAGAUCAAAGCCGGGGAUCGCAAGACCUGGCGUUUGAAGAGGGGCCCGCGUCUGAUUAGCUAGUUGGUGAGGUAACGGCCCACCAAGGCAACGAUCAGUAUCCGGCCUGAGAGGGCGGACGGACACACUGGGACUGAGACACGGCCCAGACUCCUACGGGAGGCAGCAGUGGGGAAUUGUUCGCAAUGGGCGCAAGCCUGACGACGCAACGCCGCGUGGAGGAUGAAGGUCUUCGGAUUGUAAACUCCUGUUGCCCGGGACGAAAAGCUUCGACCUAACACGUCGAAGUCUGACGGUACCGGGUGAGGAAGCCCCGGCUAACUCUGUGCCAGCAGCCGCGGUAAUACAGAGGGGGCAAGCGUUGUUCGGAAUUACUGGGCGUAAAGGGCGCGUAGGCGGCCCGCUAAGUCGAACGUGAAAUCCCCGGGCUCAACCCGGGAACUGCGUCCGAUACUGGCAGGCUUGAAUCCGGGAGAGGGAUGCGGAAUUCCAGGUGUAGCGGUGAAAUGCGUAGAUAUCUGGAGGAACACCGGUGGCGAAGGCGGCAUCCUGGACCGGCAU